rnacentral:miRNA from 1 species
UCACCUGUUCUUCCUAUAUU